UACGGGGGAUGCAAGCGUUAUCCGGAUUUAUUGGGUUUAAAGGGUGCGUAGGCUGUGAGGUAAGUCAGCGGUGAAAUGCCCCCGCUCAACGGGGUGAAGUGCCAUUGAUACUGCCUUGCUGGAAUGCGGAUGCCGUGGGAGGAAUGUGUGGUGUAGCGGUGAAAUGCAUAGAUAUCACACAGAACACCGAUUGCGAAGGCAUCUCACGAAUCCGCGAUUGACGCUGAGGCUCGAAAGUGUGGGUAUCAAACAGG
rnacentral:rRNA from 1 species